GGGGCUGACUGGAAUUGACAGGAGGUCAUGUUUAAGGGGUAAGCAUGUAGCGCUUUGAUUUCCAUGCGCUUAAAUAUCGGAAUUCAAAACACAACUGGCGAUAACAAUUUCGCAAUGGCAGCCUAAUCUUAUAGAUUACGCAUACCGUGCACUCCCACCGAGUUAGCUCUAUUGGUAGGUGAUCAGAGUGCUCAACCACAAAUGAGUAUCCGUUGCAAAUGUCUACUAUGCUUUGGAUUAUUAGUAGGAUAAGGGAAGGAAUAGGAUUGUAAAGCUCCUUACCUCCUUCGAAAAUUAAGCUUAACUAAACAUGUAGAAGGCUUCAUUGGACGCUUCGCUGGACCGGGGUUCGACUCCCCGCAGCUCCACUU
rnacentral:tmRNA from 1 species